CUCCCACUGGCUCCCUCCCACAACAUGUGGGGAUUAUUAUAAUUCACGGUGAGAUCUGGGUGGGGACACAGAGCCAAACCAUAUCAAUAGGCAUAGUAACAUAGAUUACAAAUUCGAUGGGAAACUAUUAAGACAGUUGUGUGCAUGGCAAUAAAAAUAUCUUUUCUGACUACUUCAUUAAGAGCAGACCAUGAGGACAGUGGGGUGGGGGGCGGGAGGCAGGAAGGGAGCAAGAGUGGAAACAUAGAAUCCCUUUAGAAAGCUUUUUGUAGUUGUCACUAAAAAAUUCCCCAGCUCUGUGGAGCCAGAAUCUCCCAGUCUUCUGGUUAUUCAUAAAUGAAGAAUCUUUUAGCAGAUUUAUAUGACUUCGGUCAGAGUUGUCUGAAAGUAGGCAUCUGAUAGUAAUGGCAUGAAUCCAAAAAAUCUACGGCCGAAGAUGACUGAGAAAACUCAUACGUCUUAUUUUAAGGUAAAGAGGAAAAAAAGGUGUAAAGGAGAUGAUUAUGGAAAAAUAACUUCUUCCAAAAAAAGCCUCUGAGAAUUGAAGCCAUCCAAAGAACCAAAGAAAUUCUUCCUCCUGCACUACUACCUCAAGCAUAAAUGGUGUUUGAUUAAAACAUUGUCUGUUUAAUGUAGCAGUCUAUUAGCUAUUGGACCCUGUUUAUAUCACCAAGCUAAAUACACUAAGCCUACUUGUGAUAACGAGUAACUUAGAAUAUGUAAUGUUUUGCUAUUUUUUUGUUUUGUUUUUAUAUUCUAACAGGUGCUAAUAUUUUUCUGAAAAAAGAUAUUUUUAAGUAAUCAUUUUAUUUACAGUAUAACAUACAUACCAGCUCAAUAAUUAUUCACCCAUUCUAAGUAGCUUCAAAUUAAAAAAAAUAUAUUAGCAGCAUCUCAGAAAGUCUCACUUUCCACUCUGUCACUAACCCCUCCAAAAGUAAUCACUGCCUUAACUUAUAACGUUCAAAAUCAUGUUGUUGCGUGUAGCAAUAUAACAUCUUUUAUUCUUAUUGUUUUAUAAUAAUAUACUGUAAAAAUAUUCCAUACUGUAUUUAAAUAAGUUAUUUAAUUAUCCUGUUAAGUUACUUCCUGUAUUUACCUCUUAUGAAUAAUACAGCUGUGAACAUUCUUUUAAAGAUUUUUUGAUGAACUGCUACGUAUAUUUCCUUUGGACAUAUAUCCAGGAGUGGAACUGGUGUGUCAAAGUGUACACAUGAUAAACUUUAGUAUAUAUUGCUAAGGUUAAAGCUGGUUACAAGAGUGAUUUCAAUAGUGUUUUGCCAUUUGGGCUCCACUGCGGUGUAAAAAAAUCCCAGUGUGCCAAAUUCUUAUGAUAUUUGGUACUGUAAGUCCUUUAAUUGCAAUGCUAUUCUGAUGUAUAUAUAAUGGUUAUUUAUUUGCAAUUUAAAGUUUUAUCUCCCUGAUGACAAAUAAGAAUAAGUUAUUUUUCCUAUAUUUAUUGGCUAUGUAGAUAUCUUCCUUUAUAAGGUGACAUUUUAAGUUGUUUAACAAUUUUUCUAUUGGGUGAUCUUUCUUUUUUUACUGAUUUAAGUUUUUCAUCAUUUUAAAAAAAUGAGUCCUUUAUCCUAUCUCUGUGAGUUAAACGUUCACUAUUUUAAGGGUGUUGUUCAAUAAACAGAAAGUCUUAAUAUUAAAUGUAGCACAAUUAAUCUUUUUUUUCCUCUUUACAGCUAGUAUUUUUGUGUCCUGUUUAAAAAAAACCUUGUAUACCUCAAAGUCAUGAUGAUACUCUGUUGUGUUUUUUUAUAGAAGGUUGAUUGGUUUCUCUUUCACAGAUCACUGAUCCAGUUAGAAAUCAUAUGUCUUUACGGUAUGAAAUAUAAGUCAAGGGACCUGUUUUAUGACCCAGCAUAUCGGUAAAUUGGUGAGUAUUGGUAAAUAUUUUAUAUACACAUGAAAAAUACGUGCCCUGUCAGUUAAUACAGUUAUGUUAAAGUCUACCAUUAUCAUUUUGAAUAUGUUUAUCUACAACCAUAUAAAAAUAUUAAAAUAUGCAUUACUAUAUAAAAAUGUAAGUAUACUACCUUUCUUAUAUAGCAACUGUUACCUUUUUCUGUUUUUUCUUUAUCAUUUCUACAUUUAUAUUUUAUGUGUAGCAUAUGUUGUGUUUUACCUUUUCAUCUAUCCUGACAAUUUUUUAAUUGGGGUUUAUUCUCCAUUUAUUUAUAAUGCAAUUAAUGACAUAUUUAGUUUAAUAUCCCACCAUCUUAAUAUUUGCUUUCUCUUUUUCCCACCUGAUCAGUUCCUUUAUUUUCCUUUCACCUACUUUUGGGUUAAAUUCCCUACUCUCAGCCUGAAAAGCUCCCUUUACUAUUUCUUUGAGUAUGAGUUUGCCAAUGAAAAAUCUCUAUCAGUUUUUCUUUAUGUGAACAUGUCUUCAUUACACCAUCACUUUUAAAGCAUAUUUUCACUGUGUAUAGAAUGGCAUAGUAUGUGUAUAGAUUAACAAUUACUUUAUUUCAGCACUUUAAAGGUGUCAUUUCAUUGUUUACUGGUUUCUAAUCUUUCCUCUGUGAUUCUUUCCUCUCUAGGAUCUUAACCUGAAUAGCUCUCCACCACCUCCAAGUAGAUGGUUAUCAUAUUUCAUCCAUCUUUCCUAGCUACUUGCGGCAGAAGCAUUGUCUGCCACAAGCAUGGGUGCCCCUAAGUGGAAGUCUCCAAAGUAACCAUUCACUUACUUUAAAAAUGGGCCCCUUAAGGAACUUAAGUAUAAUGUUUUGAUUGUCAGGAAAUACACACUAAGCCAGCAACUCAGAGAGGAUACAAUCUGGGCUUCCACAUUACUUCUAAUUCCUUGUAUUGUAUCAUAACUAAUGUAUGUCUAUCAUUUCUUAAAGAUCAUAUAAAGUUUGUGAAAAAAUAAAAUUAAUAAAAUACCAUGUUUGCUCAUUGAGUUUUAGAAAAUUUUUUAGAAACAUUUAAAACAACUUUUUAAAAUGCUUAAUUAAAUGGAGAGUUUUAAAUGUACUUAAUAAAGAUAUCUUUUUUCUGACAUAUACAAGUAUGUAAGGAAUAAGACUGACUUGAAGCAUCACAGUGACAUAAGAAA
rnacentral:lncRNA from 1 species